rnacentral:tRNA from 1 species
GGUCUUAUAUUCAUGUUUGUGAUGUUAGAAUGCAAUUCUAUUGGGGCGGUGUAAAUUAAUGCCGUUAAGGCCU